rnacentral:rRNA from 1 species
AUUCCAUUCUCAUACACCUCUGUGCAUUUUUCAUAGGUUUGGUAUAGAAAAAGGUUCUCUACGGACUUUUGGACAUGCUGACCUAUGCUUUUACAAACGCUUCAGUUUUAGAAUGUCAUCUGCGUAUAACGCAACAAAUACAACUUUCAGCAACGGAUCUCUUGGCUCUCGCAUCGAUGAAGAACGCAGCGAAAUGCGAUAAGUAAUGUGAAUUGCAGAAUUCAGUGAAUCAUCGAAUCUUUGAACGCAUCUUGCGCCCCUUGGUAUUCCGAGGGGCAUGCCUGUUUGAGUGUCAUGGUAAUCUCAAUACCCCAAAUCUUUGCGGAUGAGGGUGUGUUGGACUUGGAGGUUUUUGCAGGCGAUAAUUUUAUUAUUAUUACCAGCUCCUCUUAAAUGCAUUAGCAGAGAUAAUACUGCUACUCUCCAGUGUGAUAAUUGUCUACACUGUUAGUAAUGCGGUAUAACCAAAGUCUAUGCUUCUAAUCGUCUUCGGACAACUUUUGACAAUCUGACCUCAAAUCAGGUAGGACUACCCGCUGAACUUAAGCAUAUCAAUAAGCGGAGGAAAAGAAACUAACAAGGAUUCCCCUAGUAACUGCGAGUGAAGCGGGAAAAGCUCAAAUUUAAAAUCUGGCAGCCUUUGGUUGUCCGAGUUGUAGUCUGGAGAAGCGUCUUCCGCGC